rnacentral:rRNA from 1 species
GUAGCGGCGAGCGAACGGGGAUGAGCCCAGAGCCUGAAUCAGCAUGUGUGUUAGUGGAAGCGUCUGGAAAGGCGCGCGAUACAGGGUGACAGCCCCGUACACAAAAGCGCAUAUGCUGUGAGCUCGAUGAGUAGGGCGGGACACGUGGUAUCCUGUCUGAAUAUGGGGGGACCAUCCUCCAAGGCUAAAUACUCCUGACUGACCGAUAGUGAACCAGUACCGUGAGGGAAAGGCGAAAAGAACCCCGGCGAGGGGAGUGAAAAAGAACCUGAAACCGUGUACGUACAAGCAGUGGGAGCCCCACCACUAAGCCAGUGGUGAACUCCACAUACGCAUCCUUUGCUGAGGAUGCGGUUAACGGAGCGAAAGCGACGUUCAACCGCAAAAGAAGCAGAGGGGGCUUAGUGGUGGGGUGACUGCGUACCUUUUGUAU